CAGUCGCCGCGGGAAUACAGAGGGUGCGAGCGUUAAUCGGAUUUACUGGGCGUAAAGCGUGCGUAGGCGGCUUUUUAAGUCGGAUGUGAAAUCCCUGAGCUUAACUUAGGAAUUGCAUUCGAUACUGGGAAGCUAGAGUAUGGGAGAGGAUGGUAGAAUUCCAGGUGUAGCGGUGAAAUGCAUAGAGAUCUGGAGGAAUACCGAUGGCGAAGGCAGCCAUCUGGCCUAAUACUGACGCUGAGGUACGAAAGCAUGGGGAGCAAACAGGAUUAGAUACCCCCGUAGUCCCUGUCUCUUAUAC
rnacentral:rRNA from 1 species